rnacentral:rRNA from 1 species
CAGCAGCCGCGGUAAAACAUAGGUGGCAAGCGUUGUCCGGAAUUAUUGGGCGUAAAGCGAGCGCAGGCGGUCAAUUAAGUCUGAUGUGAAAGCCCCCGGCUCAACCGGGGAGGGUCAUUGGAAACUGGUUGACUUGAGUGCAGAAGAGGAGAGUGGAAUUCCAUGUGUAGCGGUGAAAUGCGUAGAUAUAUGGAGGAACACCAGUGGCGAAGGCGACUCUCUGGUCUGUAACUGACGCUGAGGCUCGAAAGCGUGGGUAGCAAACAGGAUUAGAGACCCCCGUAGUCCCUGUCUCUUAUAC